ensembl:rRNA 5S_rRNA 5S ribosomal RNA
GCUUACGGCCACACCGCCUGGUUCACGCCCGAUCUCGUUUGAUCUCGGAAGCUAAGAUAGGGUGGGGCCUGGUUAGUACUUGGAUGGGAGACCGCCUGGGAAUACCAGGUGUUGUAAGAU